CGGGGGGGGGCAAGCGUUGUUCGGGAAUUACUGGGGCGUAAAAGGGGCGCGCAGGCGGCCCGGCCAGUCCUACGUGAAAUCCCACAGCUCAACUGUGGAACUGCGUGGGAUACUGCCAGGCUUGAGUCCCGGGAGAGGAGAGUGGAAUUCCCAGUGUAGCGGUGAAAUGCGUAGAUAUUGGGAGGAACACCGGUGGCGAAGGCGGCUCUCUGGACCGGCACUGACGCUGAGGCGCGAAAGCUAGGGGAGCAAACGGGAUUAGAUACCCCGGUAGUCCUAGCCCUAAACGAUAAGCACUUUGUGUGGCGGGCAUCGACCCCUGCCGUGCAGAAGCUAACGCAUUAAGUGCUCCGCCUGGGGAGUACGGUCGCAAAGGCUG
rnacentral:rRNA from 1 species